GGCAACGGGAAUGCAGGCUGUAUCUGCAGGGCAUUGUGCUAACAGGUGCAGGCUGCAGACCUGUCACAGGCC
ensembl:miRNA MIR4681 microRNA 4681